rnacentral:rRNA from 1 species
GACGAACGCUGGCGGCGUGCUUAACACAUGCAAGUCGAACGGAAAGGCCCUGCUUUUGUGGGGUGCUCGAGUGGCGAACGGGUGAGUAACACGUGAGUAACCUGCCCUUGACUUUGGGAUAACUUCAGGAAACUGGGGCUAAUACCGGAUAGGAGCUCCUGCUGCAUGGUGGGGGUUGGAAAGUUUCGGCGGUUGGGGAUGGACUCGCGGCUUAUCAGCUUGUUGGUGGGGUAGUGGCUUACCAAGGCUUUGACGGGUAGCCGGCCUGAGAGGGUGACCGGCCACAUUGGGACUGAGAUACGGCCCAGACUCCUACGGGAGGCAGCAGUGGGGAAUAUUGCACAAUGGGCGGAAGCCUGAUGCAGCAACGCCGCGUGCGGGAUGACGGCCUUCGGGUGGCAAACCGCUUUCGCCUGUGACGAAGCGUGAGUGACGGUAAUGGGUAAAGAAGCACCGGCUAACUACGU